rnacentral:lncRNA from 1 species
GGCAGCUGGCUGGGGUCCCUUUCCACGACGUGGCGGCUUUGUUCUUUUGCUCUUUGCAAUAAAUCUUGCUACUGGUCAUUCUUUGGGUCCACACUGCUUUUAUGAGCUGUGAUACUCACCGCGAAGGUCUGUAGCUUCACUCCUGAAGCCAGUGAGACCACGAGCCCACUGGGAGGAACAAACAACUCCAGAUGCGCCGCCUUAAGAGCUGUAACACUCACCACCAAGGUCUGCAGCUUCACUUCUGAGCCAGCGACACCACGAACCCACCAGAAGGAAAAAACUCCGAACACAUCCGAACAUCAGAAGGAACAAACUCCAGACGCGCCACCUUAAGAGCUGUAACACUCACCGCGAGGGUCCGCAGUUUCAUUCUUGAAGUCAGUGAGACCAGGAACCCACCAAUUCGGGACACAGGAGGAUCACUUGAGCCCAGGAGUUCAAGACCAGCCUGGGCCAUAUGGCGAGACCCUGUCUUUAAAAAAAAAAAAAAAACAUAGGAAACACUGAAAGGGAAUGAUGUCAGGUGAGUUGAGAACUAAUGGUAAUUCAGGGGUGGGCGUGGGUGUCUGGGCUUCCAGCCCUGUUCUGCUUCUCUUUAUAAGCCAGUGGUAUGGCCUGAAUAUUUGUGACCCUCCAAAAUUCCCCUGUUGAAACCAGAGAACCAAGGUGAUGGUAUUAGAAGGUGAUGGUGUUAGAAGGUGAUGGUGUCAUGAGGGCUCUGCCCUCGUGAAUGGGAAUAAUGCCCUUAGAAAGGGGCUCCAGAGAGCUGUCGUUUUCUUUCGCCAGGUGAAGAUACAUAGAAAGUGCCAUUUACAGGGAAUGGGUGUUCAUUAGAUCCCAAAUCUGCGGGCACCUUGAUCUUGGAUUUCCCAGUCUCCAGAACUUUUGAGACUGUUUUACUCUGUUGCCCAGGCUGGACUGCAGUGGCAUGAUCUCGGCUCACUACAACCUCCACCUCCUGGGUUCAAGCGAUUCUCCUGCCUCAGCUUCCCGAGUAGCUGGGAUACAGCUGCGUGCUACCACGCCCGGCCAAGUUUUGUUUUUUUUGAGACAGAGUCUUGCUCUGUUGUCCAGGCUAGAGUGUGGUGACGUGAUCUCGGCUCACUGCAACCUCCACCUCCCAGGUUCAAGCAAUUCUGCUUUAGCCCCCUGACUAGAUGGGAUUACAGGCACCUGCCACCAUGCCCGGCUAAUUUUUUGUAUUUUUAGUAGAGACAGGGUUUCACCAUGUUGGCCAGGCUGGUCUUGAACUCCUGACCUCAAAUGAUUAACCUGCCUUGGCCUCCCAAAGUGCUGGAAUUACAGGUGUGAGCCACUGCACCCUGUACCUCCACCACCUCCUGAGUACCUAGGACUACAGGAGCGUGCCACUACACCUGGCUAUUUUUUUAAUUUUCAAUUUUUUUUUUUUUUGUAGAGAAGGGGAUCUCACUAUGUUGCCCAGGCUGGUCUCAAACUCCUGGUCUCAAGCCCCUCAGACUUCUGCCUCGGCUUCCCAAAGUGCUGGGGUUACCGGCUGGGAUUUCAGAGCCCUGAAACAUCCUUAUAACAAUAUUAUUGACUUAUGAUUAUAAAAGUAAUUCAUGGUAGUUGUUGAACAUUUGGAAACUACGCACCAAACAAAAACAAAAAACACCCAAGUGGAAA